UCUAGGUAGAAGUGGUGGCUGUCAUUGUCGAAAGCCUUUUAGUAAUUGUGGGAACUAAAGUGAAGUGGACAUUUCAGAGCAGUUUGUUCAGCGCCAUGUGGGAGUUCCUGCCCUUCUUUUGUCCAGGGGCAUUGAGGGUGGGAGUCAGGCCACGUGUGCAGGCUGGGGGAGCUGUCAGGCCAGGGCAGGGCAGAGGCAGCCCUGGGAUGGAAAGAAGUAGGGCAGCUGGGGUCCAGUUACUGCCCAUCUGCCUGGGGCUGGUGGAGCUUGUACCAGACCAGCAAGAGAGACGGCAAGAUCAACAUCCCAGUAUCCCCAGGGCCACCACUCUGUUCCCUCUGUCCCCCAGGCUCCUGUUCUGUCUGAUUUUAUGGACGAUUCCAGGGUAAAGGGGGCAUGGCUGGGUGGGAGGGCAGAGACAGAAGAGAGAAAGAAGAGUGCGCACUGCACACAGGAGGCCUGGCUUCUGUUGCAGAGCUGCAGGUAAAACACAGGAUGCCCAGUUAAAUCGGAAUGUCAGAUAAACGACAAAAACGUUUUGAGUUGGCAUUUGUCCCAAAUACUGCCUGGAUUCUUAUUUGCUAAGCCUGGCAACCUGCUGAUGUCAUCCUAAGCUUCCUGCACCUUCUAUCCAGAUGACCACGCCGCUUCUCAUAGCUCCCAGCUUGUGACUCCCCCACCCAUCAAGAGUUUGGGGGACCCGCAGUCAGCUUGGCUCGGCAGAUGCGUUCUCGAGGCGCCUAUAUCAAACCAGAGACAUCUCCGCCGUCGCAGCCCGACCCUGGCGGGGAUCCCUAAGCGGCGACCUCAGCAUGCUUUCCCAGCAUGGGACUGUGCAACUCCCGCAGGCUCGGCUUGGGAGAGCGGUUGAAAUCAGCGCUUCGUGAAUUCUAAUUGCCUAUGAAGAAACUGAGUCACAUGUUGGUAUGUCAUCUUCAGAGGCCACAAAUUUUGGCAAAGAAGAAAGGAAAGGAGGAGGAGGAAAAAGAACUGGAUUUUUCUCUAACAAUUUAAUUUUUGCUUUUCAAAAACUCACUUCCCUGCGAGUCCAGGGCUCCUCUCCCACAGCGCACACUGGAGUCCCUGAGACGCCUGCUGGAAAUCCGGACCCCUGUUCACGAGAGCCGAGAAGCGGAAGCAGCAAGCACCCGUCGGCAGAUGAAUGGCCAAACCACACGUGGUCUCUACAUGCCGUGGAAUAGUAUCGAGCCUUGAAAGGGAAAGGGUUUCUGAUGCCUGCUACAACAUGGAGGAAGCUUGAGGACACUAUGCUCAGUGAAAUAAGUCAGUCACAAAAAGAUAAACACUGUGUGAUUCCACUUACAUGACGUACUUAGAGGAGCAAAGUUCAUGGAGUCAGAAAGUAGA